rnacentral:tmRNA from 1 species
GGGGAUGAUCGGUUUCGACGGUGUGAGUUGAAUCGAGAGAAGCGGGUCGAGAAUGCGCAGUCAUCUCGUAAACGUUCUGUGCAAACCAAUAAGUGCCAAUUCCAAGCGCACUGACUUCGCUCUCGCUGCCUGAUACAGCGACAGCAGUCUGUCAGCCCGGGUUCGCCUUCGCCCCGGUGUCUGGCAUCAGCUAGAGGGCCACUGCUUCAGCAGCACGUCGCGGGCUGCUGAGGGACUCUUACGUGACUGAGCCCGUUGGCCACUUGUGUGCAUGAUGGCCAGGGCUGAGAAAAUCACACGCACACUGCACCCGGAGAAGUCUUGAUGACACUGCACCGGACGGGGGUUCAAUUCCCCCCAUCUCCACUC